UAGUUUCAAAUUAGUUUAAUCGCCACUCACAUUAUUCCCGGUGGAUUCGACCCCGACUCUAAAAGUUGGGUAAAUAUAUUGACGAUGAUUGCCUUACACUAAAUUGAUGUGUAAGUUGACCGUUAUCACUCAGCAACACCGCCAACUUAAAAAGUUUAUUGCCCUCAAGUAUCACCACCCCUUACUAUGAGAUACAACCAUCUAUGCCUAAUCUUUAUGACUUAAAGAUCACAAUGACCUCAACUUUAGUCCUCGCCACAAGUAGCUCAUUG
rnacentral:lncRNA from 1 species